UUUUCACUUGUUUGUGUGUGCGAAGUGUUUUUUCUAAUUCAAGGUCUAUAGGUUCAAGAUUAGGUAAUAAUGACCUACGACUAUGCAUGCAAAAUAAAAUAAAAAUAAAAAUAAAGAUGGGAACAAAACAAAUAAAAAUAAAUAAGAGGGAGAAAUUACGAUACUAACCUUAUUGCGCUAUUACAACCUUACUAUAAAAAUACACAAAAAUAAAUACGUGAAAUAAAUUAACUAAAAAUUAAAUUAAUAAGAUAAACAAAAAUUACAAAGAAAAAUAAAUUAAAAAUUAAAUUACAGAAUUUUAAAGAAGAGAAAAAGAAAAGAAAUACUAACCUUUAAAUGCAGAUUCACUUUUUUUUUUUAAUAAAAAAAAUACAAGAAAACAAUUUAAAAGAAAUUAUUCACAAAAAUUAAUUCUAUGAAUUAAAAUUACUUACCUCCCCGGCAACGGCGCCAAAAACUUGUUGUGCAAAUUUUAAUGUACUCGCAAGCGCACGAAUCUAUUGUAGUAUAGACUAAUGGUGACGAGUGUCGAUCCCAC
rnacentral:lncRNA from 1 species